rnacentral:rRNA from 1 species
UAGGGAAUCUUCGGCAAUGGGGGGAACCCUGACCGAGCAACGCCGCGUGAGUGAAGAAGGUUUUCGGAUCGUAAAGCUCUGUUGUUAAGGAAGAACGAGUGUGAGAAUGGAAAGUUCAUGCUGUGACGGUACUUAACCAGAAAGGGACGGCUAACUACGUGCCAGCAGCCGCGGUAAUACGUAGGUCCCGAGCGUUGUCCGGAUUUAUUGGGCGUAAAGCGAGCGCAGGCGGUUAGAUAAGUCUGAAGUUAAAGGCAGUGGCUCAACCAUUGUAGGUUUUGGAAACUGUUUAACUUGAGUGCAGAAGGGGAGAGUGGAAUUCCAUGUGUAGCGGUGAAAUGCGUAGAUAUAUGGAGGAACACCGGUGGCGAAAGCGGCUCUCUGGUCUGUAACUGACGCUGAGGCUCGAAAGCGUGGGGAGCGAACAGG